rnacentral:tRNA from 2 species
GAGGUUGUGGCGGAAUUGGCAGACGCGCAGGAUUUAGGUUCCUGUGUCCCUGACGUGUGGGUUCAAGUCCCAUCAACCUCA